rnacentral:rRNA from 1 species
GAUGAACGCUGGCGGCGUGCCUAAUACAUGCAAGUCGAGCUAACAGACGAGGAGCUUGCUCCUCUGACGUUAGCGGGGGACGGGUUAGUAACACGUGGAUAACCUACCUAUAAGACUGGGAUAACUUCGGGAAACCGGAGCUAAUACCGGAUAAUAUAUUGAACCGCAUGGUUCAAUAGUGUAAGACGGUUUUGCUGUCACUGAUAGAUUGAUCCGCGCCGCAUUAGCUAGUUGGUAAGGUAACGGCUUACCAAGGCAACGAUGCGUAGCCGACCUGAGAGGGUGAUCGGCCACACUGGAACUGAGACACGGUCCAGACUCCGACGGGAGGCAGCAGUAGGGAAUCUUCCGCAAUGGGCGAAAGCCUGACGGAGCAACGCCGCGUGAGUGAUGAAGGUCUUCGGAUCGUAAAACUCUGUUAUUAGGGAAGAACAAAUGUGUAAGUAACUAUGCACGUCUUGACGGUACCUAAUCAGAAAGCCACGGCUAACUACGUG